AUUGAACGCUGGCGGCAUGCCUAACACAUGCAAGUCGAACGGAAACGAUGGGAGCUUGCUCCCAGGCGUCGAGUGGCGGACGGGUGAGUAAUACUUAGGAAUCUACCCAGUAGCGGGGGACAACUCGGGGAAACUCGAGCUAAUACCGCAUACGCCCUACGGGGGAAAGCAGGGGAUCUUCGGACCUUGCACUAUUGGAUGAGCCUAAGUCGGAUUAGCUUGUUGGUGAGGUAAAGGCUCACCAAGGCGACGAUCCGUAGCUGGUCUGAGAGGACGAUCAGCCACACUGGGACUGAGACACGGGCCCAGACUCCUACGGGAGGCAGCAGUGGGGAAUAUUGGACAAUGGGGGCAACCCUGAUCCAGCAAUGCCGCGUGUGUGAAGAAGGCCUGCGGGUUGUAAAGCACUUUCAGUAGAGAAGAAAAGCCUAGGGUUAAUACCCCUGAGUCUUGACGUUACCUACAGAAGAAGCU
rnacentral:rRNA from 1 species